UACGGAGGAUGCAAGCGUUAUCCGGAUUCAUUGAGUUUAAAGGGUGCGUAGGCGGGCUAUUAAGUCAGUGGUGAAAUCCUGCAGCUUAACUGCAGAACUGCCGUUGAUACUGAUAGUCUUGAGUUUGGUUAAGGUAGGCGGAAUGUGUAAUGUAGCGGUGAAAUGCUUAGAUAUUACACAGAACACCAAUUGCGUAGGCAGCUUACUGAGCCGACACUGACGCUGAGGCACGAAAGCGUGGGGAUCAAACA
rnacentral:rRNA from 1 species